rnacentral:rRNA from 1 species
UACGAAGGGGGCUAGCGUUGUUCGGAAUCACUGGGCGUAAAGGGCGCGUAGGCGGCUGUUCAAGUCGGGUGUGAAAGCCUGUGGCUCAACCACGGAAUUGCCUUCGAUACUGGACGGCUGGAGACCGGAAGAGGUCAGUGGAACUGCGAGUGUAGAGGUGAAAUUCGUAGAUAUUCGCAAGAACACCAGUGGCGAAGGCGGCUGACUGGUCCGGUUCUGACGCUGAGGCGCGAAAGCGUGGGGAGCAAACAGG